CUCUGGGGGAUUAGUGGCGAACGGGUGAGUAACACGUGAGCAACCUGCCCCUGACUCUGGGAUAAGCGCUGGAAACGGCGUCUAAUACUGGAUACGAGUAGCGAUCGCAUGGUCAGCUACUGGAAAGAUUUUUUGGUUGGGGAUGGGCUCGCGGCCUAUCAGCUUGUUGGUGAGGUAAUGGCUCACCAAGGCGUCGACGGGUAGCCGGCCUGAGAGGGUGACCGGCCACACUGGGACUGAGACACGGCCCAGACUCCUACGGGAGGCAGCAGUGGGGAAUAUUGCACAAUGGGCGGAAGCCUGAUGCAGCAACGCCGCGUGAGGGAUGACGGCCUUCGGGUUGUAAACCUCUUUUAGCAGGGAAGAAGCGAAAGUGACGGUACCUGCAGAAAAAGCGCCGGCUAACUACGUGCCAGCAGCCGCGGUAAUACGUAGGGCGCAAGCGUUAUCCGGAAUUAUUGGGCGUAAAGAGCUCGUAGGCGGUUUGUCGCGUCUGCUGUGAAAUCCCGAGGCUCAACCUCGGGCCUGCAGUGGGUACGGGCAGACUAGAGUGCGGUAGGGGAGAUUGGAAUUCCUGGUGUAGCGGUGGAAUGCGCAGAUAUCAGGAGGAACACCGAUGGCGAAGGCAGAUCUCUGGGCCGUAACUGACGCUGAGGAGCGAAAGGGUGGGGAGCAAACAGGCUUAGAUACCCUGGUAGUCCACCCCGUAAACGUUGGGAACU
rnacentral:rRNA from 1 species